rnacentral:rRNA from 1 species
UACGGAGGGUGCGAGCGUUGUCCGGAAUCACUGGGCGUAAAGGGCGCGUAGGCGGCGUGACAAGUCACUUGUGAAAUCUCCGGGCUUAACUCGGAACGGUCAAGUGAUACUGUCGUGCUAGAGUACAGAAGGGGCAACUGGAAUUCUCGGUGUAGCGGUGAAAUGCGUAGAUAUCGAGAGGAACACCUGCGGCGAAGGCGGGUUGCUGGGCUGAUACUGACGCUGAGGCGCGAAAGCCAGGGGAGCGAACGGG